rnacentral:rRNA from 12 species
GAACGUCGUGAGACAGUUCGGUCUCUAUCUACAGUGGGCGUUAGAAAUUUGAGUGGACCUGAUCCUAGUACGAGAGGACCGGAUUGGACGAACCUCUGGUGUAUCUGUUGUUCCGCCAGGAGCACUGCAGAGUAGCUACGUUCGGAAGGGAUAAGCGCUGAAAGCAUAUAAGCGCGAAACCCACCACAAGAUGAGAUUUCUUUAAAGGGUCGUUGGAGAUUACGACGUUG